rnacentral:pre_miRNA from 1 species
UGUUAAAAAUUUCCUUCAUUUUUAUUGUUAAAAACUGGCAUAGAUGACAAGAUAAUCAGACAAUUACACAUGACAUGUCGUGUAUACCUCAUGUUGGCAUUUUGGGAUCAGCUUUUAACAAUAGAGACAGAAGAACUAGUUUGCU